rnacentral:misc_RNA from 1 species
GAUGAAGAACGUAGCGAAAUGCGAUAAGUAGUGUGAAUUGCAGAUUUCAGUGAAUCAUCGAAUCUUUGAACGCACAUUGCGCCCUUUGGUAUUCCUUAGGGCAUGCCUGUUCGAGCGUCAUUUCAACCAUCAAGCCCCCGGCUUGUGUUGGGGACCUGCGGCUGCCGCAGGCCCUGAAAACCAGUGGCGGGCUCGCUAGUCACUCCGAGCGUAGUAAUACAUCUCGCUCAGGGCGUGCUGCGGGUUCCGGCCGUUAAAAAGCCUUAUUUACCCAAGGUUGACCUCGGAUCAGGUAGGAAGACCCGCUGAACUUAAGCAUAUCAAUAAGCGGAGA